rnacentral:rRNA from 1 species
UACAGAGGGUGCGAGCGUUAAUCGGAAUUAUUGGGCGUAAAGCGUCCGCAGGUGGCACUUCAAGUCUGUCGUCAAAGACUUGGGCUUAACCCUGGAAAGGCGGUGGAAACUGAAGCGCUAGAGUGCGGUAGGGGUAGAGGGAAUUCCCGGUGUAGCGGUGAAAUGCGUAGAGAUCGGGAAGAACAUCGGUGGCGAAAGCGCUCUACUGGACCGCAACUGACACUCAGGGACGAAAGCUAGGGGAGCGAAUGGG